AGGACUCCACUCCUCCACUAAGACUCCCUUCAGAAGACGUAAGACACAAUCCCCUCGCUCCUCAGGAUGAAGAUGUUACAAUGAUGUAGGGCUGAGACAUGAAUACCUUCCAGGUUUUAUUUGAAAAUGUAAUGACUCGCUCCAGACUCAGCUUCGCAGGUAUGCAACUGGACUUUGCCCACUCAUCAAGAC